AAGUCGUAACAAGGUAUCCGUAGGUGAACCUGCGGAUGGAUCAUUCAAAGGUGAAAAUGGCCCAUGGGCUGUUUUUGUUUUGUGCAAUGUAACGUGUGAGUGUGCCUCUAUUUGUGAGGCAUGCGCAUCAUUUUUUAACCCAUUCUAUCUUACCAAACUUAUUAAACAAAGAACCUUGAAAACUGCCAGCAAUGGAUCCCUCGGUUCUC
rnacentral:misc_RNA from 1 species